UACGGGGAGGGCAAGCGUUUGUUCGGAAUUACUGGGCGUAAAGCGCACGUAGGCGGAUACUUAAGUCAGGGGUGAAAUCCCGGGGCUCAACCCCGGAACUGCCUUUGAUACUGGGUAUCUCGAGUCCGGAAGAGGUGAGUGGAAUUCCGAGUGUAGAGGUGAAAUUCGUAGAUAUUCGGAGGAACACCAGUGGCGAAGGCGGCUCACUGGUCCGGUACUGACGCUGAGGUGCGAAAAGCGUGGGGAGCAA
rnacentral:rRNA from 1 species